UGUCUUAAGAGUUAUCUAGUGGAGUUACAAAGACUUUUUUUUGGUAUGGAUGUAUAGGAAGUGACUUUCAACAAAAACCAGGUGAAUAAAUUACUUCUCUUCGUUGUUGCGUUGCGAACCAAGCUCGGAGGCUCCCCACAUGUCUCUCGUCUCCAAGUGGAGUUGAUUUUGAACUGUUUGCCGAUGGUUCGCAUGAUGCAUGGGGGUCGCUUGAAAUACAUAACGUAGGAGGAAGACAUGUGUUUUCCUGAUUGAGAUUCAGCAAUGAGUUUCAAGAUCUUUGACGACAGUGUUGUGUACUUUACUUCACUCCACAAAAAUUAAAUCAGCA
rnacentral:lncRNA from 1 species